rnacentral:rRNA from 1 species
UACGAAGGGGGCUAGCGUUGUUCGGAUUUACUGGGCGUAAAGCGCAUGUAGGCGGACCAUUAAGUUGGGGGUGAAAUCCCGAGGCUCAACCUCGGAAUUGCCUCAAAAACUGGCGGUAUGCAGCAGAAGAGAGGCGAGUGGAAUUCCGUGGGUAGAGGUGAAAUUCGUAGAUAUUUGGAGGAUCUCCAGUGGCGAAGGCGACUCGCUGGCUUCUUACUGACGCUGAGUUACGAAAGCGUCGGGAGCAAUCAGG